rnacentral:snRNA from 1 species
UUUAUUUCUCGGCCUUUUGGCUAAGAUCAAAGUGUAGUAUCUGCUAUACACUAAAAAACUUUUUCAUUGUAAAGCUUGACUUUUGUACUGUGCGUUAUUAGAUUACGACCAUAAAUACAUAAAUAUUGGAAUUACGUGAU